GAUGAACGCUGGCGGCGUGCUUAACACAUGCAAGUCGAACGCUGAAGCUCUGCUAUUGUUUGGGGGAUGAGUGGCGAACGGGUGAGUAACGCGGGAGUAGUCUGCCGCCGUCUUUGGGAUAAUGCGCGGAAACGGGUGGUAAUACUGGAUAGUUAAUGGUCUUUGCAUGGUGGUUGGUGGAAAGGGUUGUUGUGGUGGGGGAUGUGCUCGCGGACUAUCAGCUUGUUGGUGGGGUGAUGGCGGAGCAAGGCUUUGACGGGUAGCCGGCCUGAGAUGGUGAGCGGUCACGUUGGGACUGCGAUACGGCGCAGACUACUACGCGAGGAAGCCGAGGGGAAGCUUGAGCAGUGGGCGCAAGGCUAAUGCAGCGAUGCCGCGUGAGCGAUGGCGGCCUUCGGAUUGUGAACCUCUUUCGCUCAUGAUCAAGCCGCAACAAUGGUUGUAGUGAGGGUAGUGGGUAAAGAAGCUCCGGCUAACUACGUG
rnacentral:rRNA from 1 species